rnacentral:lncRNA from 1 species
UUCUCUUACCAAAUCAGAUCAUCUUCGAUAAGAAGAAUCACUGUCAACCUACUCCAGCCAUGACUUACAUCUGAAUCUUCAUAGCAUAACUCUAGCUAGCACAACCCUUAUCAACUUCCCUGAACACUCCUCGAUCACUGGAUCCUCAACUCUGUCUCCUCGCCUAGCAUUAGCCUUAUUCACAAUCUCAAUCAAUCAUCUCAUCUUUAAGCCUUUCUGAAAUGGUUAGAAAGGAAUAGCAAGGGUGAGCAACAAUGCUCAGCAAGUAAUAAUAAACAAUGAUAGUUCUGAAAUGAUAUAACAGAAGUUCACGAGUUCAAAAUAUAAAAGGAUUCAACCUGAGUUCACGAGUUUAGGUAUUGUAUAAGAAAAUCACAAUACCUUGCAGCAAUUGAAUACUGAGGAAUUCAAUCUUUCCAAAAGAAUUAUUGUAUUGGACUAUCACAUUUUAAUUAAAACCAAGGUUAGGCUGCUGAUCAGACAUACCUAACCCCGAGCAGGCCCC